UACGAAGGGGGCUAGCGUUGCUCGGAAUCACUGGGCGUAAAGCGCACGUAGGCGGAUCGUUAAGUCAGGGGUGAAAUCCUGGAGCUCAACUCCAGAACUGCCCUUGAUACUGGCGACCUUGAGUUCGGGAGAGGUGAGUGGAACUGCGAGCGUAGAGGUGAAAUUCGUAGAUAUUCGCAAGAACACCAGUGGCGAAGGCGGCUCACUGGCCCGAUACUGACGCUGAGGUGCGAAAGCGUGGGGAGCAAACAGG
rnacentral:rRNA from 1 species